CCUACGGGAGGCAGCAGUGGGGAAUAUUGCACAAUGGGCGAAAGCCUGAUGCAGCGACGCCGCGUGAGGGAUGACGGCCUUCGGGUUGUAAACCUCUUUCAGCAGGGAAGAAGCGAGAGUGACGGUACCUGCAGAAGAAGCGCCGGCUAACUACGUGCCAGCAGCCGCGGUAAUACGUAGGGCGCAAGCGUUGUCCGGAAUUAUUGGGCGUAAAGAGCUCGUAGGCGGCUUGUUGCGUCGGUUGUGAAAGCCCGGGGCUUAACCCCGGGUCUGCAGUCGAUACGGGCAGGCUAGAGUGUGGUAGGGGAGAUCGGAAUUCCUGGUGUAGCGGUGAGAUGCGCAGAUAUCAGGAGGAACACCGGUGGCGAAGGCGGAUCUCUGGGCCAUUACUGACGCUGAGGAGCGAAAGCGUGGGGAGCGAACAGGAUUAGAUACCCUGGUAGUCCACGCCGUAAACGUUGGGAACUAGGUGUUGGCGACAUUCCACGUCGUCGGUGCCGCAGCUAACGCAUUAAGUUCCCCGCCUGGGGAGUACGGCCGCAAGGCUAAAACUCAAAUGAAUUGACGG
rnacentral:rRNA from 1 species